GCCUAUUUGCUGAAUAAAUGUUUGAUGUUUGUGUUUUUAUUUUUUUAUUUUUUUUUAUUACAAAAAGGCAAGCAUUUGACCGCAAUCUCACCUGAUGGUAAGUGCCGAUGCAGUCUAGGAUAGAUCAUGCUUACCUAAAAGAUGUCUAUUCACUCUUGAUUUAAAAAGAUCCAAGUUA